GAUGAACGCUAGCUACAGGCUUAACACAUGCAAGUCGCGGGGCAGCAUGGGGGUUGCUUGCAACCCCUGAUGGCGACCGGCGCACGGGUGAGUAACGCGUAUCCAACCUGCCCUUCACCACGGGAUAACCCGGCGAAAGUCGGACUAAUACCGUAUGUUGUCCAUUGACGGCCUCCGAUUUGGACGAAAGGCUUGGGGGUGAAAGGAUGGGGAUGCGUCCGAUUAGCUUGACGGCGGGGUAACGGCCCACCGUGGCUACGAUCGGUAGGGGUUCUGAGAGGAAGGUCCCCCACACUGGAACUGAGACACGGUCCAGACUCCUACGGGAGGCAGCAGUGAGGAAUAUUGGUCAAUGGGCGUAAGCCUGAACCAGCCAAGUAGCGUGCAGGAGGACGGCCCUAUGGGUUGUAAACUGCUUUUAUGCGGGGAUAAAGUGGCCCACGGGUGGGCUUUUGCAGGUACCGCAUGAAUAAGGACCGGCUAAUUCCGUG
rnacentral:rRNA from 1 species